CGGCUGUAGAUAGACGGCAGCUGUAGGCGAAGAUGGCAGCUUUGGCUUGUGUGAGCGCUCAGUGAGGGCAUCUUCUGAGCCACCCUACCUGUGCAGGCCUCAGUCCAGCAUGAGAACAAAGGGAAGAUCCAAUCACCCUGCAGAGAAGCCCAGCUACAAGUCCUUUCUCUGCCUUAACACAGUUAUGGUGGCUGUAUAGUUAGGUUUGCUUCUGAUCAGAGCUAGGUAUCAUAUGAUCUUGCAAACGUAAUUAAGAAACAGACUCCUUAAUCAGAAGUCUGUUUUACCUUUUCUCUCCAUGUUUGUUUUUAGUUAAGGUAUGUAUGCUAGUUGCUCAGUCGUGUCCGACUCUUUGUGAUCCCAUGGACUAUAGCCCUCCAGACUCCUCUGUCCAUGGAAUUCUCCAGGCAAGAAUACUGGAGUGGGUAGCCAUCCCCUUCACCAACAGAAUCUUCCUGACCCAGGGAUCGAACCCAGGUCUCCUGCACUGCAGUCGGAUUCUUUACUAUCUGAGCCAUAUCAAGAACACAACUAAGGAGUCUGCUCAUCUGGGCUGAAUUCUACUGACAUCUCUUACCAGCUGUGUAACCACAGGUGAAGGAUUGCACCUCUGUGCCUCAGUCUUCUCUGCAAAAUGGCUCCUCUGUCCAUGGGAUUCUCCAGGCAAGAAUACUGGAGUGGGUAGCCAUUCCCUUCUCCAAAGGAUCUUCCCAACCCAGCAAUUGAACCCAGGUCUCCUACAUUGCCGGCAGAUUCUUUACCACUGAGCUACCACGGAAGCCCCAGUUAAAAGCUGUUUUGUAGAUACUGCAACCCCCACUGGGUGGAAGACGUGAACUAUAUGCUGACCACAGGCACAGAGACCCCAAACUGCUUGGAACCAGAAGGUUGUUGAUGUGGGCUCUUGGUUCCCUCAGAGGAAUGUACACGAGUCGAUCAUGCACACCACAGUCCUCUUCUUCACCUUGUCUUCAAACAGCGCAUUCAGGUUUCUGAGCACUAGAUGCCCAGACUCCUUGCUUGGCACCAGCAAUA
ensembl:lncRNA